AGAAAAUUCUGGCAAUGUAUUUUGCAUUCUGAAGAUAGAUACAGUCUGUGAGCAGAACUUGGCCCUUGAGUAGAAGAUGCAACAGAAGUGAAAUUAUUUGAGUGAUACAAGAAUCUCAUCAUCAGACACUCUUGCCUUUGGAAUCUAAAAACAUUUUUACAUUAAAGAUAUUCUUUUUAUGGUGCCAGUAUAUCUGCAAAAGAACAUAAGACUGUUAAGGCUCAGGAG
rnacentral:lncRNA from 1 species